AUAACCUUAAUCCAACAUCGAGGUCGCAAACCCCCCUGCCGAUAAGAACUCUCAAGGGGGAUAACGCUGUUAUCCCUAAGGUAAUUUAAUCUUACAAUCAAAAUAAAUGGAUCAAAUAAUUAUAAAUAAAUAUAACAACAUAAAGGAGGGGUUAAAUAAAUUCCUCCCAUCACCCCAACAAAACAUACUAAAUGGCCCAGUGAACCCUCACAAACAGAAAAGAACCAUAAUAAAUGUUAAACUCUAUAGGGUCUUCUCGUCCCAUAAAAACAUCUAAGAAUUUUAACUCAAAGACCAAAUUCAAUAAACAAUUCAAAAUUAAGACAGCCCAUGCCUCGUCAAGCCAUUCAUACCAGAUCACAAUUAAAGAACUAAUGACUAUGCUACCUUUGCACGGUCAAAAUACC
rnacentral:rRNA from 1 species